rnacentral:lncRNA from 1 species
CACUAUAGAAAAGUCAAAUGAGGAAGAAAAUAAGUACUUGCAAUGUAAGUACUGCAGGAAAUCCCAUCCCUGGCGAUCCCUGUUAAGGGGUCUUUCUACCAUAUUGUCUCAGAGUCAUGAUGUCGCAGAGAUGGAUGAAGGGUCAGCGCUGCCUUGCUCCAGACAACGGAGCUGAGCGUGGCAGAAAGGUCGGGGGGAGGUAUUUCACCUGGUGAAGACAUCUCCUUAGCGGCUGAUGAUGUCGCCUGUCACUCGAGUUUCAAGAAGGCUGUAACCUACAGGCAAUGCGAUGCUGUGCUUAAAGCAGGACCUUCCCGAGCCCUACAUGUUCUGACUUUUGUAGUCGCCACCACACAAAACAUCAGGUACAUCAGCUGCAUCCGUAUCUCACAUUAAGUAUACUUAUUUUUUUUUUUGUUUUAAGAAUCUUCAUAGGGUUUUUAAUUU